rnacentral:lncRNA from 1 species
CGACAUUUUUUCGAAAGAGGUUAGGUCAUGAAAAUUGAGACAGGACCACGCAUGCACCUAACCGCAACCAGCCUUUUGGUUCACGCCUAAUGAACCAUUUCCUCGAAAGAUCCGGAUUCUGAUGAUAUUCAUGAUAAUUCAUGCCAGUGUAUAGCACUUUCGAGUUUGGCCACAAGUUUUUGGCAAUCACAUAUAUGACCCCACGGCCAUGACUG